UACGGAGGGGACUAGCGUUGUUCGGAAUUACUGGGCGUAAAGCGCACGUAGGCGGAUUUGUUUAGUCAGGGGUGAAAUCCCGAGGCUCAACCUCGGAACUGCCUUUGAUACUGCAAAUCUCGAGUCCGGAAGAGGUGAGUGGAAUUCCUAGUGUAGAGGUGAAAUUCGUAGAUAUUAGGAAGAACACCAGUGGCGAAGGCGGCUCACUGGUCCGGUACUGACGCUGAGGUGCGAAAGCGUGGGGAGCAAACAGG
rnacentral:rRNA from 1 species